rnacentral:rRNA from 1 species
AGUGAACGCUGGCGGUAGGCCUAACACAUGCAAGUCGAACGGCAGCACAGUAAGAGCUUGCUCUUACGGGUGGCGAGUGGCGGACGGGUGAGGAAUACAUCGGAAUCUACUUUUUCGUGGGGGGUAACGUAGGGAAACUUACGCUAAUACCGCAUACGACCUACGGGUGAAAGCAGGGGAUCUUCGGACCUUGCGCGAUUGAAUGAGCCGAUGUCGGAUUAGCUAGUUGGCGGGGUAAAGGCCCACCAAGGCGACGAUCCGUAGCUGGUCUGAGAGGAUGAUCAGCGACACUGGAACUGAGACACGGUCCAGACUCCUACGGGAGGCAGCAGUGGGGAAUAUUGGACAAUGGGCGCAAGCCUGAUCCAGCCAUACCGCGUGGGUGAAGAAGGCCUUCGGGUUGUAAAGCCCUUUUGUUGGGAAAGAAAAGCAGCAGGUUAAUACCCCGCUGUUCUGACGGUACCCAAAGAAUAAGCACCGGCUAACUUCGUG